UGGGGAAUANNGGNNNNNGGGGGCAACCCUGACGCAGCCAUGCCGCGUGAAUGAAGAAGGCCUUCGGGUUGUAAAGUUCUUUCGGUAGCGAGGAAGGCAUUUAGUUUAAUAGACUAGAUGAUUGACGUUAACUACAGAAGAAGCACCGGCUAACUCCGUGCCAGCAGCCGCGGUAAUACGGAGGGUGCGAGCGUUAAUCGGAAUAACUGGGCGUAAAGGGCACGCAGGCGGUGACUUAAGUGAGGUGUGAAAGCCCCGGGCUUAACCUGGGAAUUGCAUUUCAUACUGGGUCGCUAGAGUACUUUAGGGAGGGGUAGAAUUCCACGUGUAGCGGUGAAAUGCGUAGAGAUGUGGAGGAAUACCGAAGGCGAAGGCAGCCCCUUGGGAAUGUACUGACGCUCAUGUGCGAAAGCGUGGGGAGCAAACAGGAUUAGAUACCCUGGUAGUCCACGCUGUAAACGAUGUCGAUUUGGGGGUUGAACUUUAAGUUUGGCGCCCGUAGCUAACGUGAUAAAUCGACCGCCUGGGGAGUACGGCCGCAAGGUUA
rnacentral:rRNA from 1 species